GUGUCAGCAGCCGCGGUAAUACGUAGGGUGCGAGCGUUAAUCGGAAUUACUGGGCGUAAAGCGUGCGCAGGCGGUUGUGUAAGAUCGAUGUGAAAUCCCCGGGCUUAACCUGGGAACUGCGUUGAUGACUGCACAAAUCGAGUACGGCAGAGGGGGGUGGAAUUCCUGGUGUAGCAGUGAAAUGAGUAGAGAUCAGGAGGAACACCGAUGGCUAAGGCAGCCCCCUUGGCCGAU
rnacentral:rRNA from 1 species